CUCAGGGAGAAAACUGAUAUGGUCUG
rnacentral:piRNA from 1 species